GAGGUAGGUGCAAGGAGUGCAUAUCCCUUUCCAAUGGGAGUACGGGUUCGAUUCCUGUUAUCCUCGCCA
rnacentral:tRNA from 1 species